UACGGGGGGGCAAGCGUUGUUCGGAAUUACUGGGCGUAAAGGGCUCGUAGGUGGCCAACUAAGUCAGACGUGAAAUCCCUCAGCUUAACUGGGGAACUGCGUCUGAUACUGGAUGGCUUGAGAUUGGGAGAGGGAUGCGGAAUUCCAGGUGUAGCGGUGAAAUGCGUAGAUAUCUGGAGGAACACCGGUGGCGAAGGCGGCAUCCUGGACCAACACUGACACUGAGGAGCGAAAGCCAGGGGAGCAAACGGG
rnacentral:rRNA from 1 species